rnacentral:rRNA from 1 species
CAAGUCGAACGAGUUCUUCUCUUUCGGGAGGGGAGCGAGUGGCGGACGGGUGAGCAACACGUGGGUGACCUACCUUUCAGUGAGGAAUACCGGCGAGAAAUCGCCGACAAUACCGCAUAGGCUUGACCUGGCUCGCGAGAGCGGGAGGGCAAGCAAAGCUCUUUUCGGAGGGCGCUGGGAGAUGGGCCCGCGGCCGAUUAGCUGGUUGGUGGGGUAACAGCCUACCAAGGCGACGAUCGGUAGCUGGUCUGAGAGGACGAUCAGCCACACUGGGAUUGAGAACGGCCCAGACUCCUACGGGGGGCAGCAGUGAGGAAUUUUCGGCAAUGGGGGCAACCCUGACCGAGCAACGCCGCGUGCAGGAAGAAGGUUUUCGGAUCGUAAACUGCUUUUCUCGAGGACGAGCAAGGACGGUACUCGAGGAAGAAGCCCCGGCUAACUACGUGCCAGCAGCCGCGGUAAUACGUAGGGGGCGAGCGUUGUCCGGAGUUACUGGGCGUAAAGCGCACGCAGGCGGUGCUGCAAGUUUGGGGUGACAGCUCUCGGCUCAACCGAGAGAGCGUCUCGAAGACUGCAGGACUUGAGGGCCAGAGAGGGACACAGAAUUCCGGGUGGAGUGGUGAAAUGCGUAGAUAUCCGGAGGAAUACCAAAGGCGAAGGCAGUGUCCUGGCUGGUACCUGACGCUCAGGUGCGAAAGCUAGGGGAGCGAACGGGAUUAGAUACCCCGGUAGUCCUAGCCGUAAACGAUGACCACCAGGUGUGCGGGGUAUCGACCCCCUGCGUGCCGGAGCUAACGCACGAAGUGGUCCGCCUGGGGAGUACGGUCGCAAGAUUAAAACUCAAAGGAAUUGAC